AGUGAACGCUGGCGGCAGGCCUAACACAUGCAAGUCGAGCGGCAGCGGGUUCCCGCGAGGGGAUGCCGGCGAGCGGCGGACGGGUGAGGAACACAUCGGAAUCUGCCUGGUUGUGGGGGAUAACGUAGGGAAACUUACGCUAAUACCGCAUGCGACCCUGAGUCGACGGACUGGGGGUNAAAGUGAGGGACCUUCGGCCGUCACGCGACCAGAUGAGCCGAUGUCGGAUUAGCUAGUUGGCGGGGUAACGGCCGCCAAGCGACGAUCCGUAGCUGGUCUGAGAGGAUGAUC
rnacentral:rRNA from 1 species